GAUGAACGCUGGCGGUGUGCCUAAUACAUGCAAGUCGAGCGAACAGACGAGGAGCUUGCUCCUCUGACGUUAGCGGCGGACGGGUGAGUAACACGUGGAUAACCUACCUAUAAGACUGGGAUAACUUCGGGAAACCGGAGCUAAUACCGGAUAAUAUAUUGAACCGCAUGGUUCAAUAGUGAAAGACGGUUUUGCUGUCACUUAUAGAUGGAUCCGCGCCGCAUUAGCUAGUUGAUAAGGUAACGGCUUACCAAGGCAACGAUGCGUAGCCGACCUGAGAGGGUGAUCGGCCACACUGGAACUGAGACACGGUCCAGACUCCUACGGGAGGCAGCAGUAGGGAAUCUUCCGCAAUGGGCGAAAGCCUGACGGAGCAACGCCGCGUGAGUGAUGAAGGUCUUCGGAUCGUAAAACUCUGUUAUUAGGGAAGAACAAAUGUGUAAGUAACUAUGCACGUCUUGACGGUACCUAAUCAGAAAGCCACGGCUAACUACGUG
rnacentral:rRNA from 1 species